UCACUCAGAGGAAGAGGAGGGAGCCCAGGAGGAAGGGGGGACUGUUAGCAGAUAGGAGUGAGGAGUUUAGAACAGCUGGUCACUAUGCCGACCGGGUUUCUGCGUUAAGUUCGGCAUCAAAACGGUGACCUGGGAGUAGAGGGGCCACCAGGUUGCCUAAGGAUGGGUGAACUGGCCCAAGUCAGAAAUGAAGCAGGUCAGAACUCCCCUGCCGGGCAGUAGUGGAACUGAGCUUGGGCAACAUAGUGCGACUUUGGUUCUCAAAAAAAAAAUAAAAAUAAAUUACAGCUGCU
rnacentral:lncRNA from 1 species